rnacentral:piRNA from 1 species
UGACAGAAGAUCUACACCGGGG